rnacentral:pre_miRNA from 1 species
AUUCUACUCCCUCCGUCCGGAAAUACUUGUCAUCAAAAUGGAUAAAAGGGGAUGUAUCUAGAUGUAUUUUAGUUCUAAAUACAUCUCUUUUUAUCCAUUUUGAUGACUGGUAUUUUCGGACGGAGGGAGUAUAAC